rnacentral:tmRNA from 1 species
GGGGCUGAAUAGCUUAGACGAAAGAAACUUAAUAUUAAUCUGCAAGCCGUGUGACGAACGUAUUCGUAAGCUUAAAUGCAAACAAAGUAAAAACAGCAUUCGCUAAUUUAGCUAACGCUUUUGCACCUAAAUUAGCUUUUGCGCCGAUCGCUGCUUAAUUUGGCGAUUGCCACAACAGCCUAGCAGUUGAGGCUGUUCGUGGUAUCAUAUCUAGACUGCUUGCUUAAUAAUUAUUGCGCAAAAAUUGUUAAGGACUAACUUGCGCCGAUAGUGGGAUGCUUUGCUAUUUUUGUUCGAUCUCGCUAACUGAAAAAAAUAAAAAUAGCUAAGCUUGUAGAUGAUUGAUAUUAAUUCAUUCGGACCGGAGGGCAGUACUCCGCAGCUCCACCA